rnacentral:rRNA from 1 species
GGUCCCUAUCUGUUGUGGGCGUAGGUGAUUUGAGAGGGCCUGUCUCUAGUACGAGAGGACUGAGAUGGACGGACCGCUAGUGUGCCGGUUGUCGCGCCAGCGGCAGUGCCGGGUAGCUAUGUCCGGUUUAGAUAACCGCUGAAAGCAUCUAAGCGGGAAGCUAGCCUCAAGAUUAGAUCACCCGGAGGGUAACCUCCCUAAAGGCCACUUGUAGACUACGAGUUUGAUAGGCUGGAUGUGGAAGAGCUGUAAGGCUUGAAGCUAACCAGUACUAAUCGGCCGUGCGACUUAACAAC